rnacentral:rRNA from 1 species
GAUGAACGCUGGCGGCGUGCCUAAUACAUGCAAGUCGAGCGAACAGAUGAGGAGCUUGCUCCUCUGACGUUAGCGGCGGACGGGUGAGUAACACGUGGAUAACCUACCUAUAAGACUGGGAUAACUUCGGGAAACCGGAGCUAAUACCGGAUAAUAUAUUGAACCGCAUGGUUCAAUAGUGAAAGACGGUUUUGCUGUCACUUAUAGAUGGAUCCGCGCCGCAUUAGCUAGUUGGUAAGGGAACGGCUUACCAAGGCAACGAUGCGUAGCCGACCUGAGAGGGUGAUCGGCCACACUGGAACUGAGACACGGUCCAGACUCCGACGGGAGGCAGCAGUAGGGAAUCUUCCGCAAAGGGCGAAAGCCUGACGGAGCAACGCCGCGUGAGUGAUGAAGGUCUUCGGAUCGUAAAACUCUGUUAUUAGGGAAGAACAAAUGUGUAAGUAACUAUGCACGUCUUGACGGUACCUAAUCAGAAAGCCACGGCUAACUACGUG